rnacentral:rRNA from 1 species
GACGAACGCUGGCGGCGUGCCUAACACAUGCAAGUCGAACGGGGUAGAGAGCUUCGGUUUUCUACUUAGUGGCGAACGGGUGAGUAACGCGUGAGAAACCUGCCUUUCAGUGGGGGACAACAGUUGGAAACGACUGCUAAUACCGCAUAAUGUUAUUUGGGGGCAUCCCUGAAUAACCAAAGCUUUAUGUGCUGAAAGAUGGUCUCGCGUCUGAUUAGCUAGAUGGCGGGGUAACGGCCCACCAUGGCGACGAUCAGUAGCCGGUCUGAGAGGAUGAACGGCCACAUGGGGACUGAGAUACGGCCCAGACUGCUACGGGAGGGAGCAGUGGGGAAUAUUGGGCAAUGGGGGAAACCCUGACCCAGCAACGCCGCGUGAGGGAAGAAGGCUUUCGGGUUGUAAACCUCUUUUAGCAGGGACGAAGAACGUGACGGUACCUGCAGAAAAAGCAACGGCUAACUACGUGCCAGCAGCCGCCGUAAAAC